rnacentral:rRNA from 1 species
AACGAACGCUGGCGGCAUGCCUAACACAUGCAAGUCGAACGAAACCUUCGGGUCUGGGGGCUCACGGGUGCGUAACGCGUGGGAACAUACCCGUGUGUUCGGAAUAACUCCCCGAAAGGACUUCUAAUACCGGAGAAUGUCUUCGGACAGAAGAUUUAUCGCCUUUGGAUGGGCCCGCGUUGGAUUAGCUAGUUGGUAGGGUAAAAGCCUACCAAGGCGACGAUCCAUAGCUGGUCUGAGAGGAUGAUCAGCCAGACUGGGACUGAGACACGGCCCAGACUCCUACGGGAGGCAGCAGUGGGGAAUAUUGGACAAUGGGCGAAAGCCUGAUCCAGCAAUGCCGCGUGAGUGAUGAAGGCCUUAGGGUUGUAAAGCUCUUUUACCCGGGAUGAUAAUGACAGUACCGGGAGAAUAAGCUCCGGCUAACUCCGUG